GGCCUCUCAGGGUCACACCUGGAGAGUUUCCAAUACUCUACCAGUCUCAGCUACGGGAGGGAGAGUCAAGCAGAGACCUACCCAUUCCAUUCCUAGCUUGGAAAGUGGUUAGCAGGUGGAAGGUAAUCUGCAACAAGU